ACAGUCUCCCUGGGAAAGAGCUCCGCAGUUAGCCAUCUGUGACCAAGUGGGCAGCUCUGAGAUCACAUACAUGUGGUAACAUUACAAUGAUUAAAGAAGAAGAGGCUACUGGUUUAGGAGAGAGCAAGAAAGUGUUUGCUUUCUCUUGGGAAGUGCUUAGAAGUUCACAGAGGAAGGCUGUGAACCAGAGAGAUGUGUAAGAACCAGAGAGCCACAUCACUAAACUAAAGAAAGAUGUACAUAUGAUUAAAGAUGGUGAAGAUAUGAAUAUAAAACUAUGGAAGGAAAUGUUGGGAACCAUGAGAGCCCUGAGAUAAACAUCCUGC